CAGGAGGGACGAAGCCACUCGGGUUAAUAGCCCAGAGGGUGACGGUACCUCCAGAGGAAGGUCCGGCUAACUACGUGCCAGCAGCCGCGGUAAUACGUAGGGACCUAGCGUUGUCCGGAAUUAUUGGGCGUAAAGAGCGUGUAGGCGGCUUGUCAAGUCCGAUGUGAAAACUCGGGGCUUAACCCCGAGCCUGCAUUGGAAACUGGCUUGCUUGAGUCCGGAAGAGGGGACUGGAAUUCCUGGUGUAGCGGUGAAAUGCGCAGAUAUCAGGAAGAACACCCGUGGCGAAGGCGGGUCCCUGGGACGGUACUGACGCUGAGACGCGAAAGCGUGGGGAGCAAACAGGAUUAGAUAUCCCUGGUAGUCCACGCCGUAAACGAUGGGCACUAGGUGUGGGGAGGUGUCGACUCCUUUCCGUGCCGUAGCUAACGCAUUAAGUGCCCCGCCUGGGGGAGUACGGCCGCAAGGCUA
rnacentral:rRNA from 1 species